rnacentral:rRNA from 1 species
UACGGAGGGUGCGAACGUUAAUCGGAAUCACUGGGCGUAAAGCGCGCGUAGGCGGUUUGUUAAGUGGGAUGUGAAAUCCCCGGGCUUAACCUGGGAACUGCAUUUGUGACUGCAUGGCUGGAGUGCGGCAGAGGGGGAUGGAAUUCCGCGUGUAGCAGUGAAAUGCGUAGAGAUGUGGAGGAACACCGAUGGCGAAGGCAGCCCCCUGGGUCAAGAUUGACGCUCAUGCACGAAAGCGUGGGGAGCAAACAGG